AGAACGAACGCUGGCGGCAGGCUUAACACAUGCAAGUCGAGCGCCUCGCAAGAGGAGCGGCAGACGGGUGAGUAACGCGUGGGAAUCUACCGUACCCUACGGAAUAACUCCGGGAAACUGGAACUAAUACCGUAUACGCCCCCCUUUGGAGACAUUGGGCGGGGAAAGAUUUAUCGGGGUAUGAUGAGCCCGCGUUGGAUUAGCUAGUUGGUGGGGUAAAGGCCUACCAAGGCGACGAUCCAUAGCUGGUCUGAGAGGAUGAUCAGCCACAUUGGGACUGAGACACGGCCCAAACUCCUACGGGAGGCAGCAGUGGGGAAUAUUGGACAAUGGGCGCAAGCCUGAUCCAGCCAUGCCGCGUGAGUGAUGAAGGCCCUAGGGUUGUAAAGCUCUUUCACCGGUGAAGAUAAUGACGGUAACCGGAGAAGAAGCCCGGCUAACUCGUGCCAGCAGCCGC
rnacentral:rRNA from 1 species